rnacentral:rRNA from 1 species
CGUGGGUAACCUGCCCAAGAGACUGGGAUAACACCUGGAAACAGAUGCUAAUACCGGAUAACAACACUAGACGCAUGUCUAGAGUUUAAAAGAUGGUUCUGCUAUCACUCUUGGAUGGGCCUGCGGUGCAUUAGCUAGUUGGUAAGGUAACGGCUUACCAAGGCAAUGAUGCAUAGCCGAGUUGAGAGACUGAUCGGCCACAUUGGGACUGAGACACGGCCCAAACUCCUACGGGAGGCAGCAG